UCCUGGAGCAGGCUCGGCAAUUUGCAUCUUUGCUGUUCUCCUUUUAAAAAUGACAGAAAAACACUCCGCAGAGUGGAGCUUGCCCAAGCGGAGCUUCUGCCGACAAAAACAGGGGCACAGAAGUCAGCUUGACAUUCUGCCAAGUGCGGCCCCUCCUGUCUCCUCCUCUACACCAAGAAGUAGACUUUAAUCAAUAAGUUUCUGAGAGGGGGCAGUGAGGAAGGGAUUGAAGGAGAAAAAGCACAGAUCUUCUCACCGUGCACAAUUUAGAAAACAUGUCUAUGCACAAAUUCUUGUGCAGGAGUCAUGGAGAUCAAUGACUGAGAGGAACUUCUUUUAAAAGCCAAGAACAAGAAUACCACCCGAAGACAUCUGUUCCUCUCAUCCUUUAGUGAAGUGCAGAUGGAGAUUCCUACGUGGUUUUGGUAAGAGGAAUUGGUCAUGCUUAUUAGCCUGGGCAGAUUUAGGUUUCAAAUAAUAAGCUAAAUUGAGAACUACCAAGAGACCAACAUUUGCAAAGCUGCACUGUAGCCUGAAGAGGGACAUGCCAAUUUUAGAUUAAUUAAAAAGGUUAUUAAAUUGUUCAGAUGGCACGUUAAUGAGCAAUCUGCAGGGUGCUCAGUCAACAACCACGCCUCCCAACCUUAAUUACAGGACCCUUAUUGAAAAGGAUCUGGGCAAGCCCACAAAGGAGCUAGAAGAACAUCCAUCUUGAAUAUAAUAUGAAUAUGGUCAACCCAGGACAAAUCCCAUGAAGAAAGAUGGUAUAUUAAGCUUAUAAUAUAAAUUCUUUCAGAAGGAAGGUAAUGCUGAUUCUAUUAAGCUUAUAAUAUAAAUUCUUUCAGGAGAAAGGUAAUGCUGAUUCUAGCCAGCUACAAGGCACCGAGAUAUUAGAAUUAGAGAUACAACAGAUAAUGUGCCUUUAUAUUUUGGACCCAAUAGGUUCAAGUGCCUUGGAAUAUUUUACCAACCCAUAUUUUUCCCAAGGCCUGCUGAUAAAAUUAGAAGGCUUAAGUUAUUGUUUCUGUUACAUAAGGUUUACAUAAAUUUAUAAAUCAAGACAUUUUAAUAUCUACCACCGACUUCAGCAUUCAAAUGUCGGAAAAAAGAUACUGCCUCUGCCCGGAUGAGUAAUUUUCAAAGUGUGGGCUACAUGGGGCCAUGUAAUGAACCUCGGACUGAUCUAUAAUUGCAACUCCCUGCUUUGGUUCUUUUGGGUGAAUUAUCCAUAAAUCCGUAGGCUUAAGUUUAUAUAAACAGCCAAGGUUUACUUUCUAGUAAAUUCCUAAACCAAUUGUUAAUGGUUACUAAAAUUUGGCAUUCAUGAACUAAAACUAAGCAGCUCCUAGAACUUAUUGAGAAAUAUAAUUCAAUAUUCUUCUAUGAAGUCUACCUCAGUGCUUGGCAGGGAUGAAAAACUUCUAUUGCAUAUGAGCACUUGCAGAUCACUGGAAAUCCCACAAAAUUCUGGAUGGGUGAUUUAUUUUCAUCAUAUCAGAAAUUUUCUUGAGUUGGUCAUGAUUUGAAUAGUUACUAUUAUUCCUUUUGAAUUUAAAAUUACUAUUAGUUUAUUUUUACCUUUAUCAAGGUAGUUUGUUGUGAGUUGUUUGGUUCUUCUUAUACACUGACACGUCUUUAUCAUGAUGCUGUGCUGUGGGCUUUUUUGACCUUUGAUACUUCAAUAAAUUCCCCCAAACUAGUGUUGCAAGGUCUAGAAAAUAAUCAGUUAAAUAGGAAGUUAUCUAGACAACAAAUAAUUUUUAAUUUUAAUGUAUGUUUCAAAUAUUACAUGAAUAAUACUAAAAAAUUAUUUGUUCAUUUGAAUUAAUAUUUAAUUGGGUGUCCUGAAUUCUACCUGGCAACUAUAUUUCAAGCAAUGUUGUAUUUUAUUGAGAAAAGUGAAAAAAAAAUGGUGAUACAGAGUUUGUCUUAAUUGCCAAAUCAGAUAGGUAUUGGCUGUCAGAAACACUCUGAGACUGUCAAGUCUGGUUCAGUCAGGGAAAAAAAAAUGACCAUGAUUGAUUAGUGAUGUCUGCCACGGACAAGACCCAAAGACUUACUGACUCAGGUGUUGAAUUUUUGCUAUCUCUGCCUUAGUGGCUAAAGUAGAACUAUCUUGCAAAAUCCUACUAGAAGCUAUCUAUUGAUUGUGUCACUCUUUUGCUCAAAACCUUAAAAUCCUUUAAUACCUUCCAUUGCUCUUAGGAUAAAGACCAAAGAGGGUUCUUAAUGUGGUUUUCAGAGUGCUAGCUCCUGCCAACUGUUUUAGCAUAGUCUUUUGCCAUGUUCCCUGUCACUUUCUGUGUUCCAGCCUCCCUGGCCUUGGUAAGUGUCUUCCAUUGCCUGGAAAUCUCUUCGUCUUCUUAUUUAUUCAAGUAUCUUCUGCUCAUUCUUUAAAUCCCAGCUCCUCAGGUAAGCUUUCUAACACACAGAAAAAGUCAAGAAUCAUUGAACAUAGACUCAUUGCAACUAUCUUAGUUUGUGAUAAUUUUUUCAUGUCAAUAUUUGAUUAAUGUAUUUUUCCAUGACUAAAUCAUAAAAUUCUUAAGGGAGCAGCCAUCUUGGUUUUAUUCACCAUUUUAUCCCCAGAAUCUAGCACAAUGUUUUCUGUAUACUAUGUUUCAAUUAUAUAUCUGUUGAAUGAAUUAAUUCAUUUAAAUAAUCCCAAAAUGAAUGCAUGUUUUGGCCUAAUGAGUUCAAUAUUAUGAAAAAAUCUUAGUGGUCCAUUUAAAAGGAAAUUAACACUUUUUUUUUCAGGCUAUAAUUACAAACUUAUUUAGAGCUCUCCAAAUGUAAUAAAUAAAAUGAGCAUUAUCUCUCUCAAUACUAAUCAGAGUAACCCUUUUAUUUAUACACUUGUCAUCAGUACCUUUAAGUGUUUCCUUCAGAAAAAUGCUUUGGUGGAGAGUUUAAUACAGUAGGGAGGAAGUUUUUAGGUAUGCAUAAUAUUUCCUUUUUUGUCAUUAAAUAUUAAAUAUUUUGUUGGAAUGCAUUCUGAGUAUCAUCCUUGGUAAAAAUUUCAUUCAACUCACCCAUCUGCAAUGACUUCGAUGUGUUAACUUGGCUAGGCUAUAGCCCUCAGUUACUCAAUCAAAUGAUAAUCCAGGUGUUUCUGUGAUGACAUUUUGCAGAUGUAAUUCAGUCCACAACCAGUUGAAUUUGCUAAGUCUAAAAAAAAUUCAGGAUUUAUAUUUGAAUAUUAUGGGUAGGACUGAUUCAAUCAGUGGGAAGACUUAAAAAGCAGGGCUGAAGCUUGUCCCAAAAAGAGAAGACAGCCUGUCUGUGGAUAAAAGCUUUGGCCCAUACCUGUGAGUUUCAGCUUCACAGAUUUCAGAUUGCUUAGCCAGCCCCCACAUUCAUGUAAGCCAAUUCCUUAAAAUAAAUCUCUUAAUAUAUAUAUGAGGAGAUUUAUUAAAUACAUAUAAGGUGUAUAUAUAUAUGUGUGUGUGUGUAUACACACACACACACACACACACACACACACACACUGGUUCUGCUACUCUGGUUGAGCCCUGAUGACCCACACCAUCCAGUGGUACUCAUAAAUGGUUUGUCAAGAAUAUGAAAAAAAAAUACUUCAUUCGAUAAUAUGGAGCUCACAGCAAUGCUGAUUGCAGAGCUUUUGUAAUCCAGGCUCCCCUUGCCUCACCCCCCUCCAAACCACCUACAAGUGCAAGAAAAUCCAAGGUAUGACUUUUAAAGUAGACCAACACAAACUUAUUUUAAAAAUAUUAUAGGAAUAACAAUAUGGGAAAAAAUAUAGCUGCUGGUUCUAGAACUCAUUUCCAGAAAACCCUUAUCUUUGUUGGGAAGAGACUUUGAUGAGCAGCCUUAGAGUAUAUAUGAGUUCUGAAUGUUGAUAGAACUUUUCUUUAUGAGGGAAAGGGAAAUACUCAGUGGUACUGGAGAUGUAACAGAGGGCAACAAGUGGCAGAGGGUGGUAACAAGAAGGCAGAUAUUCACAUUUUGCUAUGAUCUGAAUGUUCAUGUGACCCAAAAUUUGUAUUUGGAAAUCCUAACGCCCAAGGUGAUGGGAUUAGGAGAUGGGGCUUCUGUAGGUGAUUAGAUCAUGGAGGUGGAACCCUCAUGAAUGAGAUUAGUACCCUUAUCAAAGAAGUUCCAGAGAGCCACCACCUGAGGACGCAGCAAGGAGGCUCCAUCUGUGAACCAGGAAAGGGGCCUCUAGCAGAUGUUAAAUUUAUUGGUGUCUUGUUCUUGGACUUCCCAGUCUCCAUAACUGUGAGAAAUACAUUUUUGUUGUUUAUAAGCCACCCAGAUUAUGGCAUUUUGUUAUAGUUUUCUGAACAGAUUAAGACACAUCCCCUAUGACUGAACCUUUUAUUUAUUCCCUAUCCCAUUCCCUGACUCUCUGAUAAAGUUACUAAACUCAAUUAUAAGUAGACUUUUUGAGAAGCCAAGGAAGAAAUUGGGCUGCAUGCAGUUUGGAAUGGCAGCAUGAGUGGCUGUGGGAGUGGGUAGGGGGAAGAAGAAAGAGUUCUUCUUUCUUUCUUGCAGAAAGAACUAAGCCCACCCCUUUGAUUCCCCUCUCCUCCCCUUCUUCCACCAUCACCCCCAGCAAGAUGGGGAAGGAUAUAAAUGCACACUGAGCUGUGGAACUGCAGUCCUUAGGAAGCUUAUUCAGAUCCCCUCUGUGGGAUUGGUUAACCUCUAAUUACCUAAGUAUGAUGUCAUUGUUUCCUUCUAUGCCAUACUUAGGCAUUUCCAGGAAGCUGAAGUCUUUACCUACUUGGCCUAGUGUUAAAUUGUUGACAGGUCAUUGUAAAAUCCCUAAGGCAGCAGCCAAAUAUCAAAUUGGUUAAUUAACAACAAAGUAUGUCAAAUAUUGUUACAAUCUAUAGCAGGUUGUCAGAAUGGCAAAUUCUUCUCUUCCUUAGCAUACAUAUUCAGAUUCCACUUUUGUCUUCAUGUCCUUUAAAAAUAAAUAUUUACAAGCCACUAAAUAUAUUUAAAAUGUUCUAUCUUUGUUGAACCCUUGGAAACUGUUGCUGUUAAGCUUUUCUCAUAAGUGUUUACCAAAAGAAGCAAGAAAAGAAUGUUCUCUCUUCUAAUAGUCAUGACUACACUCACUGGAAUUUCUUGAAUGUGGCUUCACUUACCUGGUUCCCUCCCCAGCCGUGAAUAUGGUUCCCUGGAGACAAGGUAAAGGCUGACCAGAAACACAUUCCUAUCUGUGAUCCGUGGCAGUGUUAUUUUUUGGUGCCUGUUCAGUUCGAUUCAACUAAUAUUUAUGAUCUAGACUCUGUGCUAGGUGAUAGUAACAUAGAGAUGAUUCAUGUAUACCUUCUGUGUUCUGUGAGUUCAACAUCUAAACAAUGAAAUGCCAUUUGUGUGAUAGGGGUAUAAUAGAGGCAGAGAACAGUGGAGAGAGUGGCUGGCUCCAUCAGUGGUGGGUGCGAGGUCAGUGAAGAUUUCACCCAGGCAGUAUGAUAAAAUGACAGAAUUUGAACUCCAUCAAUUGGAAAUGUAAAAGUUAAGGUGCAUUUUAACCAGUAUUAAAAGGCUCGGAAUGGGAUGGAUAGAGAAACCUUAAACUAGAGAAUUUUAAUAGGCAGCUAAUUCUUAUUAGCAGCUAAUGCCACAAUCAUGAGGAAUUGGGAGAGGAAA